rnacentral:rRNA from 1 species
CGCGAAUAGCUCAUUACAACAGCCGUUGUUUCUUGGAUCUCCGUUUUACUUGGAUAUGUGCUGCAAUUCAGGACUUAAUACAUGCAAUCGAGCCCCGACUUCACAGGACGGGCGCAUUUAUUAGCUCAAAACCAAUCAGCUUCGGCUGUUCACUGGUGAAUCUGAAUAACUACGCAGAUCGCUUCGGUUUAAUACCGGCGACGUAUCCUUCAAGUGUCUGCCUUAUCAACUUUCGAUGGUAGUUUCUACGCCUACCAUGGUUUCGACGGGUAACGGAGAAUUAGGGUUCGACUCCGGAGAGGGAGCCUGAGAAACGGCUACCACUUCCAAGGAAGGCAGCAGGC